ACGGCACUCUGGCCAGAGGCAUGUGGAGCCCCAAGUCAAUUGUCUGCCAUUCGUGAAGCUGGCCUAGCCUUGCUCAGGCUACAAUAUCUCAGGGAGGACCUGAUAUCAGCAACCCACUCAGAACACUCCUCCAUGGCACAUCCCAUGGUGGCUCAGCUCCAUUGACUGCUAUGUGUUUCAUCUUGCAAAAGGCCUCACUCAGAGGAGGACAGCAAAUAAAGAAAUGGCCUGGCCACACAAUGGGACCUUGGGGGUCACAGUGACGCGCAACCUCACAGCAGGGAACAAGGAAGGUACAAGUAGCACACUUU
rnacentral:lncRNA from 1 species